CGGGUGGUAAUGCCGGAUGUUCCACAUGAUCGCAUGUGAUUGUGGGAAAGAUUCUAUCGGCGUGGGAUGGGGUCGCGUCCUAUCAGCUUGUUGGUGAGGUAACGGCUCACCAAGGCUUCGACGGGUAGCCGGCCUGAGAGGGCGACCGGCCACAUUGGGACUGAGAUACGGCCCAGACUCCUACGGGAGGCAGCAGUGGGGAAUAUUGCACAAUGGGCGCAAGCCUGAUGCAGCGACGCCGCGUGAGGGAUGGAGGCCUUCGGGUUGUAAACCUCUUUUGUUUGGGAGCAAGCCUUCGGGUGAGUGUACCUUUCGAAUAAGCGCCGGCUAACUACGUGCCAGCAGCCGCGGUAAUACGUAGGGCGCAAGCGUUAUCCGGAUUUAUUGGGCGUAAAGGGCUCGUAGGCGGCUCGUCGCGUCCGGUGUGAAAGUCCAUCGCUUAACGGUGGAUCUGCGCCGGGUACGGGCGGGCUGGAGUGCGGUAGGGGAGACUGGAAUUCCCGGUGUAACGGUGGAAUGUGUAGAUAUCGGAA
rnacentral:rRNA from 1 species